UGUGGGAGCGAGCCUGCUCGCGAAGGCGAUCUGUCUGGCACAUCAAUGCUGAAGUGCCACCGCCUUCGCGAGCAGGCUCGCUCCCACA
rnacentral:antisense_RNA from 1 species